rnacentral:rRNA from 1 species
AUUGAACGCUGGCGGCAGGCCUAACACAUGCAAGUCGAACGAGCGGCGGACGGGUGAGUAAUGUCUGGGAAACUGCCUGAUGGAGGGGGAUAACUACUGGAACCGGUAGCUAAUACCGCAUACCAUCGGAUGUGCCACGAUGGGAUUAGCUAGUAGGUGGGGUAAAGGCUCACCUAGGCGACGAUCCCUAGCUGGUAGGAGAGGAUGACCAGCCACACUGGAACUGAGACACGGUCCAGACUCCUACGGGAGGCAGCAGUGGGGAAUAUUGCACAAUGGGCGCAAGCCUGAUGCAGCCAUGCCGCGUGUAUGAAGAAGGCCUUCGGGUUGUAAAGUACUUUCAGCGGGGAGGCGUUACCCGCAGAAGAAGCACCGGCUAACUCCGUGCCAGCCGCCGCGGUAAUUC